rnacentral:rRNA from 1 species
CGAACGCUGGCGGCGUGCUUAACACAUGCAAGUCGAGCGAUGAAGCACCUUCGGGUGUGAAUUAGCGGCGAACGGGUGAGGAACACGUGAAGAAUCUGCCUUCAACUCUGGGAUAACUCCGGGAAACCGGGGCUAAUACCGGAUAUGAGCCUUGAUCGCAUGAUCGGGGCUGGAAAGUUUUUCGGUUGAAGAUGACUUCGCGGCCUAUCAGCUUGUUGGUGAGGUAAUGGCUCACCAAGGCGACGACGGGUAGCCGGCCUGAGAGGGCGACCGGCCACACUGGGACUGAGACACGGCCCAGACUCCUACGGGAGGCAGCAGUGGGGAAUAUUGGGCAAUGGAGGAAACUCUGACCCAGCGACGCCGCGUGAGGGAUGAAGGCCUUCGGUUGUAAACCUCUUUCAGUAGGAAGAAGCGAAAGUGACGGUACCGUACAGAAGAAGCACCGGCUAACUAUGUGCCAGCAG